AUGUGGCACUUUUCGGAUUUCGAGAUUCAAACAAGUCUAUCUUUGACCGUAAGUUUUUCAUAGAUCUUUUAAACAUUUUGAAUUAUCAAUUAUUGUGACUUAUAAUACUUUUUACGUAGUUUACAAAUAUAUAAAUUUCAUUUAAAUUUUUUUGAAGAUUCCGUGCGCGAAUUCCCGGUCAAACGUAAACUGUUUGACUCUCGAAAAACAAAAAGUGCCACAUAA
rnacentral:pre_miRNA from 1 species